rnacentral:misc_RNA from 1 species
CGCACCUUGCACUCCUUGGUAUUCCGAGGAGUAUGCCUGUUUGAGUCUCAUGGAAUUCUCAACCCCUAAAUUUUGUAAUGAAGUUUAGUGGGCUUGGACUUGGAGGUUGUGUCGGCUUCUAGUCGACUCCUCUGAAAUGCAUUAGCGUGAAUCUUACGGAUCGCCUUCAGUGUGAUAAUUAUCUGCGCUGUGGUGUUGAAGUAUUUAUUAGUUCAUGCUUAUAGUCGUCUCUUACCGAGACAAUUUAUGACAAUCUGAGCUCAAAUCAGGUAGGACUACCCGCUGAACUUAA